rnacentral:rRNA from 1 species
GAUGAACGCUGGCGGCGUGCCUAAUACAUGCAAGUCGAGCGAACGGACGAGAAGCUUGCUUCUCUGAUGUUAGCGGCGGACGGGCGAGUAACACGUGGAUAACCUACCUAUAAGACUGGGAUAACUUCGGAAAACCGGAGCUAAUACCGGAUAAUAUUUUGAACCGCAUGGUUCAAAAGUGAAAGACGGUCUUGCUGUCACUUAUAGAUGGAUCCUCGCUGCAUUAGCUAGUUGGUAAGGUAACGGCUUACCAAGGCAACGAAGCAUAGCCGACCUGAGAGGGUGAUCGGCCAACCGGGAACUGAGCCCCGGUCCAGACUCCUACGGGAGGCAGCAGUAGGGAAUCUUCCGCAAUGGGCGAAAGCUUGACGGGGCAACGCCGCGUGAGUGAUGAAGGUUUCCGGAUCGUAAAACUCUGUUAUUAGGGAAAACCAUAUGUGUAAGUAACUGUGCACAUCUUGACGGUACCUAAUCAGAAAGCCACGGCUAACUACGUG